ACAAAAAAAAGUAGCAACAGUCACCAUUAUUUGGUGACUAAUAAUGGUGACUGUUGCCACUUUUUUUGGG
rnacentral:miRNA from 1 species